UAUGAUGAAGUAGACCAAACUGGAUAUUCCCCUACCACUUCUAAGUCCUCUCCUGAGGACACAUCAUCAGAUCUAGUUCAAGAAACAACAUCAUCUGCCACGCAAGCAGGAAAACAAUAUGAAGGUAUAGCAAGGUGGCUGAUAGAUGAGUCAGUUAACAUGACCUCUAGUGCUGUGCUACCUGUUGAUAGCUGCUGCAAUAGUCAUUCAGAUGUUGAAGAUCAUGCGGGAGAAAUGACUGCUAUGAUGGUGCAUCAACCUCAGGAAGAAAAUUCUCAUCUAUUUGAGUCCACAUCUGGUGGAAUUGAUUGCAAAGUGUUCUCCCCAAUGCAAUCGCAUAUUCUUGCAGACCUAGCACCCUACAUGGAUUCUCCUUAUGCCGACUUUGGCAAUGAUCAUAAUGGUUUUCAUUUUCAGGAUGGCACUAGUGAACCUGA
rnacentral:misc_RNA from 1 species